rnacentral:tmRNA from 1 species
GGGGCUGACUUGGAUUUCGACAGAUUUCUUGUCGCACAGAUAGCAUGCCAAGUGCUGCUUGUAAAACAGCAACAAAAAUAACUGUAAACAACGCAGAUUACGCUCCAGCUUACGCUAAAGCUGCGUGAGUUAAUCUCCUUUUGGAGCUGGACUGAUUAGAAUUUCUAGCGUUUUAAUCACUCCAUAACCUUAAGCUAGACGCUUUUAAAAGGUGGUUCGCCUUUUAAACUAAGAAACAAGAACUCUUGAAACUAUCUCAAGGUUUUAGAAAGUUGGACCAGAGCUAGUUUUAAGGCUAAAAACUAACCAAUUUUCUAAGCAUUGUAGAAGUUUGUGUUUAGGGCAAGAUUUUUGGACUGGGGUUCGAUUCCCCACAGCUCCACCA